GACGAACGCUGGCGGCGUGCUUAACACAUGCAAGUCGAACGGAAAGGCCCUGCUUUUGUGGGGUGCUCGAGUGGCGAAAGGGUGAGUAACACGUGAGUAACCUGCCCUUGACUUUGGGAUAACUUCAGGAAACUGGGGCUAAUACCGGAUAGGAGCUCCUGCUGCAUGGUGGGGGUUGGAAAGUUUCGGCGGUUGGGGAUGGACUCGCGGCUUAUCAGCUUGUUGGUGGGGUAGUGGCUUACCAAGGCUUUGACGGGUAGCGGGCCUGAGAGGGUGACCGGCGACAUUGGGACUGAGAUACGGCCCAGACGCCUACGGGAGGCAGCAGUGGGGAAUAUUGCACAGUGGGCGGAAGCCUGAGGCAGCAACGCCGCGUGCGGGAUGACGGCCUUCGUGUUGUAAACCGCUUUCGCCUGUGACGAAGGGUGAGUGACGGUAGUGGGUAAAGAAGCACCGGCUAACUACGUG
rnacentral:rRNA from 1 species